GAUAGAUAGAUAGAUAGAUAGAUAGAUAGAUAGAUAGAUAGAUAGAUAUAGAUAGAUUACAGUAACUAAUGAAAAUUAUGAAAUACAUUACACAAUUGUUCUUCUCACGUUCUUAUUAUUAUUCGUAUAUUAUAGCACAUACACAUAUUGGAUAUAAACACAUUGGUUUUGAAGGACUGGGACACCAUAUUUUCCGUAGACAUUCAAUAUCUCCUGUACAUCCUAAUGAAGAAAAAAAGAAAAAUAAUUAAUGUAGAUAAAAUGAGAUAAAAUAUUUUGUAUGAAUUUAAAAAAAUGUGAUAUGUUUGAAUUCAAGGUCACGACGAUACCUCCGAAAUUAAAAGAUAAGACAUUCUAAGUAAUAUUACUUACUUUUUUAUUUCAUUUCAUGAUCAUAAUUUUAUACAAAACUAAAACUACAAGGUUCUUGAAAUUAUAAAAAGAAAAAAUAUCAAACUAUAAUGUAACAACACAAUAUUGUGUAUGAAGUAAAGGAAAUUUACAAAUGAUAAAAGUGGCUUACCAUCAACUUCCCUUGAAACAAGUAAUAGGGAAAAAAAGAUAAUUAUAACAUAAAUAAAUUUGACAAUUUCAGCCAUAUUUUUCUUUGUUGUAUGUAACAAGUGGAUUUCUCACUUUAUAGUUUAUAAAAAUUUCAUCCUCUCUUUACAUCAAUUAAAUAGUUUUAAAUUAUUUAAGGUCUUUUAAAUACAUCAAUAUGUUGU
rnacentral:lncRNA from 1 species